CAUAUCCCCAGAUAGCUUAGAUCUGAGUGCACAUUAUUACUGAAUGGCGCUCAGAUCACAUACAUACAGUUCAAUUGCCACGGAGCCAAAGUCUUUCACAUAGUCUUUCGUUAUACGAAUGGGCUCCAUGGCAUAGCUAUCUGGGGUAACACUGCUCACAUAGGGAAAGUACCGAAUGACCCGGCUUUCGGGUCUUUGCAGGGGAAAAUCAAGCAUUUCAACAUGGGGCCAUAGUCACAGGGCAGGAGGCUGGCAAUCAGUCUUCUCCAAUGCCCAGUGGCGAGGCUGGUUCCGCCACA